GUCCUGCGUGUGUCUCCAGAGCCCAAAUGUGGAAGGAAGGAAGGGACGGAGGAGGAAGGGUUGCACCUUCUCUUUAGGGGACCAGGCGCCUCUCUAAACUCACUCACGUGACUGGCCUAUGCUGGAUCUUCCUCCGGGAAGCAAGCCCUUACUUAUCACAGACUCUUCCAGGGUCCACAGAAUAAGAAUGACAGGUCAGAGCAAAUGGAGAAAACCAUGACAAGUGGAGAGAGAGAGACACCGUGAAAGAAGGAAAAAGCUUUACAUCUUAGCACCUUGAGUGACAGCUUGUUUCUUGCAUCUGGAACAAGCGGCCCUGCACUGUUAUCUGCAGUGAGCCCUGCAAAGCGCAGAACCAGCCCUAUGUCUGCAUCGAAUGCUGGAGACGGUGGGAACAGCCAGACAAAAACCUCUACUUUCAUGGACCAGGCGUUCUAGUGGGCAGACAGACAAAGAGUGAGUAGUAGACAUGCAAGAUGACAUGAGCUGUGGAGAAAAAUUAAGGUAGGGAAACUGGAGAGGUUGGAGGAUUUGUGGUUAUUUAUUUGUCACAUGUAUCAAAUGCCUACUAUGUGCUGGAGGAGAUUUUAACCUCAUUUCAAGUUGUUUGAGUAAAAGGGGGCUAAACAAUCUCAUGGAAGGACUUUCAUUGCCCAGUGUGGGUCAUGUGCCUAUUCCUAGACCAAUCACCACAGACAUGGGGAGGAGGUACUACAUGCUCAGUUGGCUUGGGUAACACAUGGAUCCUUCCCAGGUUGGGAGGAGACAGGGCUGGACGCAUAUUUCUAGGCCCAGAUGUUUAGGGCUGGGAUGAAGGAUGAGGUGAAGUUAUGGGCAAAGGCUAUGCUUCAGACUUAAAUGAGAAUUCACAGAGGAUUCGCAUUGGAGCUGGGGUUUUGAGGGGUGAGUAGGAGUUUGCCUGGUGAUAAAGACAAAGAGAAGAAGACAUAGCAUCAGUGAGAGAGCAUGGCUCUCAGAGGGGGCAGUUAUGGAGGCCAAAUCCUGAAGAGCCUUCCACGCCAGGCCAGGAGAGUGGGAUCUUCAUCCCAAUGCAAAAACAGGAAUAGGAAGUGUUUCCAGCAGGGGAGGUGUGUACCAGGUCUGUGAGUGAGGAAGAACAUCCUAAGGUGUAUUGCGGGUGGUUUACAUGAAGAGUUAGCAAACUAUGACC